rnacentral:tRNA from 1 species
GAGAUGAAGAUUAAAAUUCUUCCUAGCGCU